rnacentral:rRNA from 1 species
AGAGUUUGAUCCUGGCUCAGAACGUACGCUGGCGGCACGCCUAACACAUGCAAGUCGAACGAAGUAGCAAUACUUAGUGGCAGACGGGUGAGUAACAUGUAGGUAUCUACCCUAUGGCCUGGAAUAACACGAGGAAACUUGUGCUAAUACUGGAUAAGUCUUUACGGAGAAAGCUUUAUGCACCAUUGGAUGAGCCUGCACUUGAUUAGUUUGUUGGUGGGGUAAUGGCCUACCAAGACUGUGAUCAAUAGCUGAUUUGAGAGGAUGAUCAGCCACAUUGGGACUGAGACACGGCCCAAACUCCUACGGGAGGCAGCAGUGGGGAAUCUUGCACAAUGGAGGAAACUCUGAUGCAGCGAUGCCGCGUGAGUGAAGAAGGCCCUUGGGUUGUAAAGCUCUUUCGUCGGGGAAGAAAAUGACUGUACCCGAAUAAGAAGGUCCGGCUAACUUCGUGCCAGCAGCCGCGGUAAUACGAAGGGACCUAGCGUAGUUCGGAAUUACUGGGCUUAAAGAGUUCGUAGGUGGUUGAAAAAGUUAGUGGUGAAAUCCCAGAGCUUAACUCUGGAACUGCCAUUAAAACUUUUCAGCUAGAGUAUGAUAGAGGAAAGCAGAAUUUCUAGUGUAGAGGUGAAAUUCGUAGAUAUUAGAAAGAAUACCAAUUGCGAAGGCAGCUUUCUGGAUCAUUACUGACACUGAGGAACGAAAGCAU